CAGGAACCGAAAGAGGAUGGAUUUACUCUCAUGUGAUUCCUUUUCUUUUUUUUUUUUCCAAGGCCCGUCUCCUCCCAGGAGCGAUUUGGAACAAAAAACUCAAACGAAAUGAAAGUAAAGAGCGGGAAGAGAAAAUACAAAGGAGUAGAAACUGAACGUGUCCUGUUAGACGUUCCAACCGGGCUGAGCAAGAGAGCCGGGCGUCCACGCGGGGGCGCCAAGACAGCGCGUGCACAGAUUGCAUAUCCACUUGAUGGCAAGUCUUCCGGAUUCUUCACUUUGCCAGUUGCUGCUGAAGGUGGCGGCACUGUGACCUCUGCUUUGGUGUCCUGGCUGUUAGGAGGCUUGCUGUUCCACUGGCUGUUAUUUCCCAGGGCCGGCGAGCCAUUAAAGUCGUCCUCG